rnacentral:piRNA from 1 species
UCCAUGGAUGAACAACUCAGAAUUUGG